rnacentral:rRNA from 1 species
UAACACGUGGGUAACCUACCCCCAGGAGGGGGAUAACCCCGGGAAACCGGGGCUAAUACCCCAUAAUGCCGGGUGCCACUAAGGUAUCCCGGCCAAAGGGGGCCUCUGCUCUGCAUGCUCCCGCCUGGGGAUGGGCCCGCGGCCCAUCAGGUAGUUGGUGGGGUAAUGGCCCACCAAGCCUAUGACGGGUAGCCGGCCUGAGAGGGUGGCCGGCCACAGUGGGACUGAGACACGGCCCGCACCCCUACGGGGGGCAGCAGUGGGGAAUCGUGGGCAAUGGGCGCAAGCCUGACCCCACGACGCCGCGUGCGGGAAGAAGCCCUUCGGGGUGUAAACCGCUGUCGGGGGGGACGAAGGGACCGUGGGUUAAUACCUCACGGUCUUGACGGUACCCC